rnacentral:rRNA from 1 species
CCAUCAUUUAAAGAAAGCGUAAUAGCUCACUGGUCGAGUCGGCCUGCGCGGAAGAUGUAACGGGGCUAAACCAUGCACCGAAGCUGCGGCAGCGACGCUGAUGCGUUGUUGGGUAGGGGAGCGUUCUGUAAGCCUGCGAAGGUGGCCUGUGAGGGUUGCUGGAGGUAUCAGAAGUGCGAAUGCUGACAUAAGUAACGAUAAAGCGGGUGAAAAGCCCGCUCGCCGGAAGACCAAGGGUUCCUGUCCAACGUUAAUCGGGGCAGGGUGAGUCGACCCCUAAGGCGAGGCCGAAAGGCGUAGUCGAUGGGAAACGGGUUAAUAUUCCCGUACUUGGUGUUACUGCGAAGGGGGGACGGAGAAGGCUAUGUUGGCCGGGCGACGGUU